AAAAUCCUGAGGUGUUCGUAACGGGUUAUAUAAUUUAACCUACAGCUUGUUCACGGGAUCCCGGGUUUCCGCAGCCGAUGUCAGGCCCCCCUUCGGGCCGGGGAAGACAGAAGCAGGAACAGGGAACCCACCUAUCGGAAGAUAGGGUGUGAAUUAGUAACUCGGACGGCACAUUCGGGAUUUUU
rnacentral:other from 1 species